GUGGAGGAUCCGGCCUGUGUGCGUAUCAACUUUACCUGUUUACUUCGAACCAAAUUGAGUGUUUUUUUAAACGUGUGACAAUCCGUGAUUGCUGCUUGUGCGUUUGCCGUGAUGCUUUAAGCGAAGAACCUCUUGUGCAUCUGUUUAACGCCACUGGAUCCAUCGUCGGAGUCCGUGAGGGGCCUUUUUGGAGCCUUCACUACGAACAACAUCCACAGAGAGGUGGCAAUCAUAACGCCGUUAGUUAGGAAAUGCUUGAGGUGGGCAAUGUGAUGCUCCUUUUGCAAUAAACCUACUCUGGUUUAUUGCAAAAGGAUCCGACUCCAUCAAAGGCCGCGUUGAGUUCUGUCUGUGCAAUUCACUGAUGAUUGGAUAAUCGGCGACAUAUGCUAAUCCAAUUUGUUGCCGUACCUAAAGAAUUGUACGCAGCAGCCAGCGGAUUAUUUCCUCCCACGCUCGGCAAGGCCAAUUAGACACACGCACCCAUGCGGUCGCACUCGCUGUGCAGUCAAAUACAAAAGCCUCAGUUGCUCUUAAGGGCCAGGGGGGGGGGGGGGGCGUUCGCCGCGGGGACGGCAGUAGGAGGGAAGCGAAAACAGCAAUUUUCUUGAUGAAACGAGAGAGAUUCACAUUUUGUCCUCCUCACCGAAGACCCACCGAUUCACCAGUCAGCCAUUUGCCGUAAUCACGAAGCAGGGACGGGUCUGAUGUUUGUACGAACAAACACAUGACUGCCUUUUAAGGGGGGAGGUGGGGGGCUCUUAGCUGCGUGUACCAGAUGGGCACUAAAUGCCACUUGUACAGAACGUUGGAAAUAACCGUUUCACUUUCACACACAAAGAACGGAACGUGAUGUAAUCCGUCUGAAGUCGUGUUAUUAACGUGUUGUUGUCUGCGGCGUGUUCAGCUAGCAUGUCACAACAACACACUGUGAUCCCAGAAAUAUCUUAGGGCCCACAUUUAUAGCUCGAGCGUCACAAAUUUGCGGCAAUGCUUUCCCUCCUGCUUGCUGGUGCAAAGCCGGAUUGAACAGCGUUUCAGCAGCCGGGCAGGCGGGCUUGUUGGUCUGAUGCCUCCUGCCUUUGGGGAUUUGGGGGAUUUGGACGCUUUUCCAAGAACUUUGGACUGAAGGGUCUGCAGCCUGACGUCAGCCACAAUGCUAACGAGGAGCGGCGUUAGGUGGAACCAUCCGCCGCACUCUCGCCGAGACUCGCCUGCAGGGCACGGACGCUACUUUAACCCGACGCGCACGGGUUUGCGUACGAUGCAAAUUCUUCACCUGGACUGCAAAUGGAUUCCUGAUGGGGAUUUGGAUUAAUAGCUGUACCUGGGAGUCCCCACACGGGUGCUUGGAUUACGUCACGCAAAUCCUCUUUCUCUGGGUACCAAGAAUUAUUUCGCUCCUUUCACACAUAGGCGGUCAUUUAAGAACUGCAUGCCGAGCGUCGAGUCAGAGCAGAGAUUGGAGACUGAGGGUGAAAUUGAAAUAAAGCUGACAGAAGAAGAAAAUGUUGCUUGCAAGAGGCAGCAGAAAAUAGAAAAAGGAAAGCAGGCAGCGAAACGGACGUGAGAGAGACACAGAGACGGCAAACACGUAACAGAAAGUAUAUGUAAUAAAAAAGGAUGUAAAGACUAUGCAAAGGUUUUCACCAAGGGUUCAGAAUGCAGAGACGAACGUUAAAAAGAAGAUAUUGAUCCCUUAUUGCCCUCUGCUGGACAGCGAAAAGUCAUUUUAGUCACACUUCAAAAUUCAACGUCUUGGCAUUUGAUUGAAACAUUGAAACAUGUUCCUUUGUCAUGUUCUAUUAAUAUUGUAUUUAAUUCUUUCAUUUGUGUUAAGGAUUGAGGAAUAAUUUACCGUCAGUCAAUGUGGGCAAAUAACAUUCUAUAAUGUGUCCUCUGAUGUUUUAGGACCCGGAAAACAGCUGAUUUACCAAAAGAAUGCCGUGUUGGAGGGUUGGAGUUAGCUCCUUUACCAAACAAUCCAUCCAAAAACAGUAUUUAAUCAUCACAAUGACUUUGUUUGGAUGUCCUCGGCUGGGUUUUGAUGGCGGAUAAAUAUACAAAGGCCACAUGCACUUACCAUGCGACUGUUUAACGCGACGUACAAACGUUGUCUCGCUUCACUUUUCACCCUUUUUCAAUGUCCAUAUUGUUAAAAGAAAAUGUCAAGAUGAAAAGUGACAGCUAAAGUCUCACGUUCGACCUUAAAGUGAAGAGCGACAGAGAGGCAUCACUGGGGUUUGUGACGGAGCUGCGUCACGGCCGGUGUAAUACUCCGAGGAAGCCAAGUGCUGAGUGUGUUUUCACUCGUAUCAGCUCUUUGAACACCUCUAAAACGGUCCGGCGCCCCGGCCGACGUCCUCCAUCACUAGAGGGCAAUGGUGAGGUGAGGAGAUGAGAUUCAGAGCGGUGACCUACAGGUUCCAGUGCUGAUGCUUUAUCUCAAGUUGCAGGAACAAAGUGCCUGAUGUGACUUUCAGGCUGCAUCUGGAAUGACUGGAAUUCAGACGAGAGCCAAAAAGACUCUCGCAAUUGUCUUCCCCAAAAGCCAAGAGGGAAAUAUGAAUAUGUUGCCAUCACAAAGCAUAAUGCAGAGGAAGUACAAGCGCUAUUUAAAGUCCUCGCAGUGCAGUAAACAACGUCAUCUAUUCAGGGGAAUUUGUUUGACGCAUUAUGUGGAUUUCAGGGAGUCAGUCUGUCCGGGCCUCUCGUGCACUGGGUGAGAGACUUCGGGAGGAUUGCAUGCAAGCGGUGUCCGGCGUUGGUCCCACGUUGGUCCCCACCUUGUUGCUGUGAAUGCUGUGAAUCUGGUGGUGUCGGGGGAACUAGUCCUUCCUGCUUAUUCCCCAGCAGGCCACUCCUCAAGGACCCGUGCAUCUCCCUCAGGCCCGAGAAAAGAAACAAAUCAAAAAGAGUAUUUUUACGCGUCGCUCUAAAAAUUUGACUUCCUUGUUUGUUUGUUUUUAACCAAUCCAAAGACAGAUAUGAGAGGAAAGUCAGGACUGAAGCACACAGCAAUAAAGCACCUUUUUCUCUUUUUUUGCCAACUAUCCUGAGAAAGGGAUUUUUGUUGAAACAUGUCAGCUUGGGUAAUUCAUGACACCAGAAAGAAAUGAAAUAAGCUCCGAGUUGUGGUUUUCAGAAACAAGACUUUUUUUGUCUGACCACACUCGAGAAAUAUGCGGAGUUGGGAAAACAAAACAAAAGAAUGAAUAACCAAUAGGAAGCCACAUGCCACCAAUGUGUGGAAUUAAGGAGGGCCAUUAUGUUUUAAUAACAUUUAAACACGUUUUGUCACCAUUCAGCUUUAUCAGAUUUUUUGGUACGAAGCUAAAAUUUCAGCUUUCAUUGUUUGCAUUGUUUUCAAAUGCUUCUCUAUCCAACUGGAAGAGCGUGACUAUUAAUUGAGAUCUACUUUUCCUCUGCAGGAUGAUGGUUUGGGUUACUGCUUUUCACAAUUCAUCGACAUAUUUUAAUCAGUCAUUGUUACAAGUAACAGCCCUGUUGUUUGAAGGCUUUUAAAGAAACAGAACUGUUUUUAAUUAUCUGCUUUUUUCAAACACUGAACCUGGUCUCUGCUUAUCGCAAUGAAUAAAAAACACCAUUCAUGCGAUGCAGCUUCCAGCGCAUUGAUGCACCACCAAAGGCUCAAUCAAUGUGAACUUCUUGGGUGGCCCCAUGGCCUUUGGCAAAUGCAAGGUAUGUCCUGAUAGCAGCAAAGACAAGCAACAUACCUACAUGGGCCUCCCGACCUCUGAGGAAACCUGCACAGUUCUCCAGAAUGUCACAUUUGAUAUGAAGUGGUAUGUAUUUACGCUUAUUGACUGUAGAUCACCGAAGAUGACACCGCGAACCAAAGCCUGGAUCACGAAGCUCGCAGGGAUUACGAGGAUUUCUUUCUCGUAACAAAUACCAGUUUUUCUGCCCGUAUGUGGUCCAGCGAAGUGAUGGAAUCAGAACGAUUUUUAACUUUAAUGGUGCCCUUUUUCCCGUCCCAUCCAAUCUUACAAUGGCAGGAUACGUUGAAAUAACAUGCAGCCCGUACCUUCCUCAUUUUGAGUUCAGCGCCGUGUUAUCCUAAUAUUUGUACCAGUGCUUUGUCAAUAGUGAUGUUUCCUGUCGUCCCAUUUUACUUUCCCCAAAUAAUCCUAAUCAUGAAAUAAUGCAAUGUACGUAUUUACCCACUCUUGGUCGGUCAGGGUACUGUGUAUGUUCUUGGGAAUCAGAACAAUCGGUACCAGAACAUCACGGUUCUCUGCGUGAAAAAGUCCAUAGUAUCUGAUAUGAAGGGCUUGUGCUGGUUUGGCCUCAUCGAAAAGUGUUGUUAUAUCUCUGUUCUGUAAAACAAGCCAAGGUUGCAGUAGGUUUAGCGCCCAUCUAUUAGGAGAAGAAGUGGGUUUUUCUCUCGCAGAGAUAGGGGACAACAAUUUGUGUGAAUAUGCAAGUGAAUGAAUGUAUUCAAGAAGAUGCAACUCAAAGUGUGCGCGAGUGGAGACGGCAUGCAUCACACACAUCAGCCUUUCCAGAAGAAAACAAACGUCCAGUCAGAAAAGGUGUGUUUUCAACUCGGCAAAAGUCCGUCACAAUGACCACGGCCACGCUCUGUAGACGCCAUGUGCUCUGGUGCUACUUUAUCCCAUUGUGCAAAAUCCUCCAUGGAAAAGAAAAUGUGUAAGAAAACCACUGCACAUGCGUGCACUUAAAACGUCCGCAUGGCCUUUUGUUUCACAGAAAGUUAGCCGAGCCGGCCUUGAGUGAACUGAUUAAUGUGGAUGUAAUUGAUUUCUUCAGUGUUCACAGGGGCGACGGAAAAGGAGUUUUACCCCCCCCCCGAAAUGAGUGAGAGGAGUCUUCUUUUUCUCUGUGAAUCUUAAUUUUAGCAGAAGCUCAGCACCCUGAUGUGACACGGACAUUUAAAAAUAAAAAAUGAUAAACAGAAAGGAGCCUUUUCUGCUUGUUGUCACAAGUAGGAACUCGAGCUGAACAUGCCGUCAACAUGCGACGUGUGAAACUGCGAUCCAGGAAUAGACAGGAGCGCUUCUGUGCUCGCCUGAGGCCUCCGCUGGCACCUCGAGGCCGAGCCUGCUGGCAGUGCUCCCUCAUUAACAUACAGGUCUGAAACAGCCCUGUGCUCACAUAUUUGAUCCCUUUUCAACUGAGGGGCCAGUUGCCUGAACCGCUUUUAUUCCUCACUGGGGGUGGGGUUAGUAGGGGGGGGGGAGCUGCAUUAAAAACGGUAGCAGAUCCUUUCAAUAGCUGAAGAUAAAGAGCCAGCAUCCCAUCAGAGGCUCCAAUAAAAAGAGACCUAUUCAAAUACCGGACUUUUUGUAAUUACACUUUGUUGUUUGUUAUUUUCUGACCUGCCCUCUGAGGCGGAAGCUGUCCGGGAGUAUUUUAUGUCCCCGGGUCCAAGCCAAUUCGCUGUUGUGUAACCUUGUUCCCCGCAACUUAUAAUUAGCAGAUGACAUUUGCAAAAUUUGCGACGUGAUCGCAUGAAAGGCAAUAAAACCGAGCGGCUUGAUCUGCAUCGGAUGGAGCGACAUUCAAACUAAUGGCUUGAUAGCUGCACUCCUCUGACCCCAUUAAGCCAGCUGACUACAUGUGUUUAUCGGGAGGGAAAGGUAUGGCACGAGUCGUUCAUCCCAUCAUAUCCAUCCUCCUUAGUGAUGCUAGUCCGAACUCCUGCUUCAAUAUAGCACAUUCCAUAGAGAGGAGCCCCCUAACCUCCCGCGUCAAAUGGAUCCAGCCUGGAGUAAAGUACCCGAAAGGGUUAAAAAGGGUUGUUCGGGUGUGUUUUGUAACCCUGGCCUUGGUCCGGGCAGUUGAAUAGCAGCCCAGAUUACCCUUAAGCAGAGAAGAUGAAUACGGCUUUCACUGUUCGACCUGUCAACGGCCGUCCUGACGUGUCAGCAAAGAGCUCGGCUCCAGUACGGCGGCGCACAAUCGCAUAUUCAGCCAUUGAGUCCAAAAAAUUGGAUUGAGUGGCGUUGAGCUCCUUCAAAUGUCCACGAUGCCCACGGUUCUGCUCAGCGUCACAGAAAUGGAAAAAGGACAUGCAGUGUUUUGGCCUUGUGUGUUUAUUGGCUCGGUCUUGUGCCAGAGGCAGUGAAUGGGCAGACCUCUCGCUAUGC
ensembl:lncRNA